AUGCAGUCGAGCGGACGACAGGAGCUUGCUCCUUGAUUUAGCGGCGGACGGGUGAGUAAUGCCUCCUGUCUGCCUGUCAGGGGGGGAUAACAUUCCACCAGGAACGCUGAUCCCGCACACGAUCUACCGGAGAAUGCUCGGGACCUUCUGGCCUUGCGCUAUCAGAUUAGCCUAUGUCGGAUUAGCUACUUGGUGAGGUAAUGGCUCUCCAGAGCUACCAUCCGUAACUGACUCUGACACGAUGAUCACUCACUCUGGAACUGACACACUGUCCCUACUCCUACGGGAGGCAUCCCGGGGAAUAUUGGACAAUGGGCGAAAGCCUGAUCCAGCCAUGCCGCGUGUGUUAACAAGGUCUUCUGAUUGUAGAGCUCUUUAAGUUGGGACGAAGGGCAUUGGACUAAUACGUUAGUGUUUUGAAGUUACCGACAGAAUAAGCACCGGCUAACUUCGUGCCAGCAGCCGCAGUAA
rnacentral:rRNA from 1 species